rnacentral:rRNA from 1 species
GACGAACGCUGGCGGCGUGCUUAACACAUGCAAGUCGAACGGACAGGUCCUGCUUUUGCGGGGUGCUCGUGUGGCGAACGGGUGAGUAACACGUGUGUAUCCUGCCCUUGACUUUGGGAUAAAUUUAGGAAACUGGGGCUAAUAUCGGAUAGGAGCUCCUGCUGCAUGGUGGGGGUUGGUAAGUUUCGGCGGUUGGGGAUGGACUCGCAGGUUACCGGCUUGUUGGUGAGGUUGUGGCUGACCAAGGCUUCGACGGGUAGCCGGCCUGAGAGGUGGACCGGCGUCAUGAGUACUAAGAUAGGGCGCAGACUCGAACGGGAGGCAACAGUGGGGAAUUUGGCGGAGUGGGCGGGAGCCAGUUGUAGCAGCGCCGCGUGCGGGAUGACGGCUUUCUGGGUGAAAACCGCUUUCGCCGGAGACGAAGCGUGAGCGACGGUAAUGGGUAAGGAAGCACCGGCUAACUACGUG